rnacentral:miRNA from 1 species
UGUCUAAGAAGUUUAAGUGUCC